GACGUAGGGUGCGAGCGUUGUCCGGAUUUAUUGGGCGUAAAGAGCUCGUAGGCGGCUCGUCGCGUCGACCGUGAAAACCCGCGGCUUAACUGCGGGCUUGCGGUUGAUACGGGCGGGCUAGAGUUCGGUAGGGGAGACUGGAAUUCCUGGUGUAGCGGUGAAAUGCGCAGAUAUCAGGAGGAACACCAGCGGCGAAGGCGGCGCUCUGGGCCGGAACUGACGCUGAGGAGCGAAAGCGUGGGUAGCAAACAGG
rnacentral:rRNA from 1 species